rnacentral:rRNA from 1 species
GACGAACCGUGCGACCGUUGUUCGGAAUCACUGGGCUUAAAGGGCGCGUAGGCGGCCGGGUUGGUCGUGGGUGAAAUCCCCCAGCUUAACUGGGGAACUGCCUACGAUACUGCCUGGCUCGAGGGAGGAAGGGGCGGUCGGAACUGUCGGUGGAGCGGUGAAAUGCGUUGAUAUCGACAGGAACGCCGGUGGCGAAAGCGGACCGCUGGCCCUCUUCUGACGCUGAGGCGCGAAAGCCAGGGGAGCGAACGGG